rnacentral:rRNA from 1 species
AAUCUUGGACAAUGGGCGCAAGCCUGAUCCAGCCAUGCCGCGUGAGUGAAGAAGGCCUUCGGGUUGUAAAGCUCUUUUACCAGGGACGAUAAUGACGGUACCUGGAGAAUAAGCCCCGGCAAACUUCGUGCCAGCAGCCGCGGUAAUACGAAGGGGGCUAGCGUUGUUCGGAAUUACUGGGCGUAAAGCGCACGUAGGCGGAUUGUUAAGUCAGAGGUGAAAUCCCGGAGCUCAACUUCGGAACUGCCUUUGAUACUGGCAAUCUAGAGUCCGGAAGAGGUUAGUGGAAUUCCCAGUGUAGAGGUGAAAUUCGUAGAUAUUGGGAAGAACACCAGUGGCGAAGGCGGCUAACUGGUCCGGUACUGACGCUGAGGUGCGAAAGCGUGGGGAGCAA